rnacentral:rRNA from 1 species
CCUACGGGAGGCAGCAGUGGGGAAUUUUCCGCAAUGGGCGAAAGCCUGACGGAGCAAUACCGCGUGAGGGAAGAAAGCCUACUGGGUUGUAAACCUCUUUUUUCAGGGAGGAAAAAAUGACGUGUACCUGAAGAAUAAGCAUCGGCUAACUCCGUGCCAGCAGCCGCGGUAAGACGGAGGAUGCAAGUGUUAUCCGGAAUUACUGGGCGUAAAGCGUCUGUAGGUGGUUUAAUAAGUCAACUGUUAAAUCUUGAGGCUUAACUUCAAAACAGCAGUCGAAACUAUUAGACUAGAGUAUAGUAGGGGUAAAGGGAAUUUCCAGUGGAGCGGUGAAAUGCGUAGAUAUUGGAAAGAACACCGAUGGCGAAAGCACUUUACUGGGCUAUUACUAACACUCAGAGACGAAAGCUAGGGUAGCAAAUGGGAUUAGAUACCCCAGUAGUCCUAGCUGUAAACAAUGGAUACUAGAUGUUGAACAGAUCGACCUGUGCAGUAUUAAAGCUAACGCGUUAAGUAUCCCGCCUGGGAAGUAUGCUCGCAAGAGUGAACUCAAAGAAUUGACGGNUGAGAGUGCGACGCGACACGAGGGAGUAG